UACGUAGGGUGCGAGCGUUAAUCGGAAUUACUGGGCGUAAAGCGCGCGCAGGCGGCUUUGCAAGACAGAUGUGAAAUCCCCGGGCUCAACCUGGGAACUGCAUUUGUGACUGCAAGGCUAGAGUACGGCAGAGGGGGAUGGAAUUCCGCGUGUAGCAGUGGAAUGCGUAGAUAUGAGGAGGAACACCAAUGGCGAAGGCAAUCCGCUGGGACUGUACUGACGCUCAUGCACGAAAGCGUGGGGAGCAAACAGG
rnacentral:rRNA from 1 species